CUCACAGUCUGCACAGCUCUC
rnacentral:miRNA from 1 species